GUGUGUUGGGCGAGUGACGUCACCAGGCGUGGAGAGAGAAGGGGCGUGGCUCCGCUGAUGGUCGCUGUCCGUGGUUCUGAACUCGCGCACGCUGAGAGAGACACAGUGAGAGGGAGAGAGUGCGCGCGCGAGAGAGAGUUCAGCAUCUCAGUCUUUUUCAUUUAAUCUGUUUCUUCCUCUUCACCCUGUCAGUCCCCCCCUCCCUCCCUCUCUCUCUCUCUCUGAGUGUGUGAGAGUGUGAGCGUCUCCGGCACCGGGACACGGCGGCGCGGUCGGUGGAGCAGGAUGGAGUCCCCGGUUCUGGUCUCUGUGCUCCGGCUUACACCGCUGCUGCUCCUGCUGCUGCUCCGCCUGAGCGCCGCGAGCCGCAAACACGGCUGUCUCUUUGAAGAUGAUCUAUGUGAGCCACAUGAAGUUUGCGUUAAUGAGUCGUGCGCCCUGAUUUCCCCAGCGUUCUGCUGCAGUGCUGAGGUGAUUUACGCCACGAGGAGAAAUAGAAAGAAAAAAAACAAUAAGAGGCACGGCAAAUCGUUUAGCUUAAUUAAAGGAGUGCAGUG
ensembl:lncRNA